GCGGCACAGGGUGAACCCCGCCAGGCCCGGAAGGGAGCAACGGUAAGCCCUCCCUGCCGAGCGCCGCAGGGUUGCCUGGCUGGAGCCACCGGCGUCGGUAACGCCUGGAAGGCGAGUUCAAGGGUGGGGUGCGC
rnacentral:SRP_RNA from 1 species